UACGUAGGGGGCGAGCGUUGUCCGGAGUUACUGGGCGUAAAACGCACGCAGGCGGUCUGCUAAGUUUGGAGUGACAGUUGGUGGCUUAACUGCCAAAGUGCUUCGAAAACUGACAGACUUGAGGGCUUCAGAGGGACACGGAAUUCCGGGUGGAGUGGUGAAAUGCGUAGAGAUCCGGAGGAACACCAAAGGCGAAGGCAGUGUCCUGGGGAGUACCUGACGCUCAGGUGCGAAAGCCAGGGGAGCGAACGGG
rnacentral:rRNA from 1 species